ACAUCUCCUUGGCAGAGGCAGAUCCGGCAGCUCUCAGACAACAGCCCUGAGCCACCACCCUGGUCCAUUUCCUGGCAGGAGAGGGGCCAGCAGCAGGCAGGGGAGCAGCUGCUGAGCCAGCCACAGAUGCCAAGCAGAGCUGGGAGCGAGCAAAGGAGCCAAGCACCAGCAAUGCCUGGCAAUGCAGCACUCAGACAAACCCGUGACGUAUUCCAGCGAGCACCCAGUUAAGGCCCUGUGGGUGGCAGCAGGAUUUGAAAGCCCACUGGCUUGGCAGGGAGGUUAUAGGGAAAAUUGGGGUCCAGAUGGUGGGGGCGCUAGGGUCGCUCUGCCCCUGUGAUCUGAAAAGCAGGAAGCUUUUUACCCAGCCGUAGUUUUUAAAGCAACUCUUUGUCGCCUCAAGAGCUGGUGGUUUUAAAGGGGGCUGGUUGGCCUGGCUGGUUUGUUCUUACCUGGGGCUGUGACAAAAGGAGAGGCAAAGGUGCCUUUGCAAAGUGCCUCCUCGCUUGCAAUCAGUGGCUCUGCGGGGCUGUCUGGGUGCUAGGGUUUGGGAGUCAAUGGAGAGUGCUUUGCAUUUGCCUUUCCUGUGUCCCAGCUGGUUGGAUGUGAUGUUUACAAGGGGCUGAUCAACCUGGGCUGGGGAAAUCUGCUUUCAGACUUGCAAGCCCAGCACCAAACUCCCUGGUUCUUUCGAUGGAAAACCAGAGGAUGCUAAAGACACAGGAGCCCUGCGCUAGCCUCGGCAGCGGACUAAGUGAGCUGGUAGGGAACCGGAAGCUGAUGGUUUUGGGGGCCCUGUUAGCCUGGUUAUUAGUCGUCCACUUGCUGGUUAACAUCUGGCUGCUUUGCCUCCUCUCCGGCUUGUUGGCGGUGUUGGGGGGAUGGCUGGGUUCCCAGGCCAUCAUCGGCACCCGCAGCCGGCUCCACUUGGAACGGUUCAUCCUGCUGGAGAGCUGCCCACAGAGCCCCGAGGCGGAGAGGCAGCUGGAUGAGGAGAUUGACCUCAUGAUCCAGAAGAUCAUCCGGGACUUUGUGUCCUCGUGGUACCGGACGGUUAGCAGCGAGCAGGGCUUCGAGGACGAGGUGAGGAAGGCCAUGACAGGCCUGGCCCUAGAGCUCAAAAGGAGGAUGGCACUGGUGGACAAGCAAGCCUUGACCCAUAAGAUUCUCUUGCUUUGUGGUUGCCACCUGCAAAGCUACAUGAAAGCAAGGGAGAGCACGGAGGCUGCAAGGAGCCCAGCGGGACCGGCUCCGCUGGCACACCAGCUCUGGCAAGCGUACGGUGAGCUUUCUGCCCCGCACCCAGCCGUCCAGAGCCCAGCCAUGGAAGUGAACUACGCCCGGAGCAUUGUGGACCUGUUGCUCCGGGUGCUGGUGCCCAAACCUCACCUGGAAACUAGGACUGGGCGCUUUGUGGUGGUGGAGCUGGUCACCUGCAAUGUUCUUCUGCCUAUGAUCAAGAAGAUGUCUGAUCCUGACUGGAUCAACCUGUUACUAAUUGGGAUUUUCUCCAAGAUGGGCAGCAAAGGGGUGAGAAGGGGAAAGGGGGAGGAGCCUCUUUUGGCUUCCUCCCCUUGCCAGCCCACAGUGCUGAAUUCUUUGCCACUGAAAGUUGUGGCACCAUCUCCAAGGCCUUCGGAGCUCCCCAGUUACGAUGUGGUGGACAGUCUGGAGUGCAACCCUCAAGAGGGGGAAGAGGGGAAGGACCUGUCGAGCGGGGAGCCUGGUGCUGAUGUUGAUGGUAGGAAAGCAGGGAGCACGCCCGUGCGCUACCCCCAGCCAGAUACUCUGGGCUCCCUCUUCCUGUGUGAGGACUCAGAGCUGGAAUCCCCUAUGUCUGACCUCGGCAAGGACUUGGAUUCUGUGGUGCUCUUGUCCGCAGAGGAAUUCCUCACUGACAAGUUCCAGGAUUCCUUUGCGGAGCUGGAGGGGCUGGACGGCCUGGACCAAGAGGACGGUGUGGAUGCCAAGGAUGGGUACCUGGAGGAGAGCACUGCCUCUAGCUCUGAAACGAGCAUCCUCCCCUCUGCUCUGGGCCAGUGCCCCGACAUACAAAUUGACCCCGCAAUGGAGAAGGAGGAAAGCUUGGCGUCUGUCACCGUCCUGCUGGCCGAUCCAGAGAAGCCUUUCUCGAGGCGACCAUCCUUUCUGGAGAACCCUGCGAAGAGUCCCCUGGACCCCAGUCAACCGCCUCUCCCACUCUACUCCUCCCAUACUUUCAGCUUUGAGCCACUCAGUAGCCCUGAUAGCCCAGUCGUCAUCCAGAACCUGCGGAUAACUGGAACCAUCACUGCCCGAGAGCACAGCGGGACUGGGUUCCAUCCCUACACGCUCUACACGGUCAAGUAUGAGACAGCGCUGGAGAGUGAGAACGCCAAUAGCCUCCAGCAGGUGGCCUACCACACCGUGAACCGGCGCUACCGCGAGUUCCUGAACCUGCAGACCAGGCUGGAGGAGAAACCUGAGCUGCGGAAAUUCGUUAAAAAUGUCAAAGGUCCAAAGAAACUUUUCCCUGAUCUUCCAUUCGGAAACAUGGAUAGUGACAAGGUGGAAGCCAGAAAAAGUCUCCUGGAAUCGUUCUUGAAGCAACUGUGCAGCAUUCCUGAGAUUGCCAAUAGCGAGCAGGUGCAGGAGUUCCUUGCCCUGAACACGGACGCCAGGAUCGCGUUUGUCAAGAAACCCUUUGUGGUCUCCAGAAUAGACAAGAUUGUGCUCAAUGCCAUUGUGGACACUUUGAAGACGGCAUUCCCCAGGUCGGAACCUCAGAGCCCAACGGAAGAGCUCAGCGAGGCAGAGGUGGAUGGUAAAUCCCAGACGGAUGGGAAGAAGGCUAAUAAGCCCAGGCUGAGGUUCCCGUCCAGUAAAAUCGCUCCGGUGCUGAGCGUGGCCGAAGCACAUGAGAGGAUCCUGUACGGCCUGAGGGAGGCCAGCACUGUCUCUGACCCCUUGUCCCUGGCCGGAAUGGAGUCCUUCAUUCAGAAGCAGGAGAAGUUGCUGGAGGCGACGUCCAGUGAGGCCCCGGAAACCGAGGGGGCAGGCCCCACGCAUGUCCCGCAGCAGCCGGUGAGCCAGAAGGAUGACCCUGGUUCUGAGACACCCCUGGCAGACACGGCUCUGGACCUGCUGCAUCUGCUGAUGGUGGAUCGCUGGAGCUGGCUCUGCACUGAGAACAUGCAGAAGGUGCUGCACCUGCUCUUCGGAUCCCUGAUCCAAAGUCUCUCUCGCUAGCUCUUUCUGCCAGCACAGCUGGUGAAAACAAAUCACUUGGCAGCCUCCUUGCUCCCCUUGACUUUACACAGGACCACAGAUGCACAGCGUUGCCUGACCCUCUCAAGCACCCGGGCACAAACCUACUUGCUCACACUGCCAGGCUUUUUGGAUGGGCCUGAAUUCAGAAUUUAAAUCAGAGAGCACCUGCACUUUGUAGCUCCUUGAAGCUGGGAACAGAUGGCCUGAGGCAGGUGAUUCAGCAGCUUGUCUGCCAGAGCAUCUGGAACACAGGGAAAGAGGGCGGGAGCAAAUAUCCAGCUGCCGAGACUGCAGUGUAGGCCUCCCCAAGGAUCCCUGCCAGCCCUCCUCAGAUGAGACACAAAACCAAGGUGCUUCCCUGUUAUGACAAUUUAAGACCCUGUGGCUCUUUUAGAGGGUUUUGUUCUGGCUUGUGUCCUGCCCAGAUUGCUAGAUGGAUAAGUAACAUUCCUACCCCUGUUGAAGUCAUUGGAGAAGUUUGUCACUGCCUGACCUAAAAACUGAUGAUGAUUGCUCUGCUGGCGCAGAAUGGCUCUAUGUCUCACCGCAGAGAGACCUGUGUGAUGGUGGGUGAGUGAUUUUCCCCCCUUCCCUCACACAAGAGCUGCUAGGGGAAGGAAUUGCCUCCCUUCUGAUGGUGAGAGCUGGAGAAUGGGAACACGGGCUCUUGGGUUCUCUUCCUGCUUCCUCUUUCACCGUCUCAUUCUGCACCCCGGGACAAGACACUGUCAUGAGUCAGAAAACAAGAUGCAACUCCCACUCCCCAAGGUGAGUGCUACUGAUUGCUAGCAGCUGAAACCCAUGAAAACUGAUCAGGUGAAAGCCUUGAUUCAGACUGAUGCCAUUCCUGCAAAGCAAAGCCACUGGGAAACUUGGAUCGAGGUUGGAACUGGUGGGACUGAGGCACUGAGCAGUGCCGCUAGCAGGCUGAUGGCUAUAGUGUCUUUUCUCACCACCAGAGACUCGGAUGAACCUGAGUAUUGCCUCCCUUAGGAUGUAACGCAAUGACCCAACCGACUGCACAAGUCUUUUCACAACGAGGACACCUGCAGCAGGACUGGUCACUCUUUCCCCAUGAAACAAGCAAGAACUUCCCUGCUUCUAAAGCUGCACAACCUCUUGUGCCCAUGUUGCACUUCCUAACUUGUGUGCAUGCCUGCAGGAUGCCACAGCACUGGGUGCCCUGAAUAGAUUCAAUUGGCUUCUCCCUGCUCUGAGAGCCACCAUCUCCCUAAGACAGCGCUGGCUCUGUAAUUGCUUUGGGAGGAUCCAACAGGACGCUAGUUCCCAGUCAGCUGCAGCUCCUUGGAGCAUGGCUGGUUGUCACAGCCAGGCUCUCGCCUCUAGUUCAGCAGUGAUAACUCUCUGGACGGGAGAGAUUCUCGCUACUUAGCAUGAAAACAGCUCUCUUGCCAUCCUUCCCCAGCCGGGAGGGAUGCAACGAGAGCCCAGUUGACUGGUGUUGCAAUCUGACUUGGUUACACCCCCUGACAGUUCAGCAGCAGGUAGGAGCUAGAGGUAUUUAUCUAUGCCCACAUAAGCAAUCGAUGCUACUGCAGCCUGUUUGUGGAAGGAUGGUGCCGCGUGAGAGGAGGGUGCUGAGGAGGGCUCCAGACGGCAGCUCUGCAGAGGGCUGUCUCCUGGUUUUAUCUCUCGCUCCAAAGUGUGUUGAGAUCCUGUCCAAUUGAAUUUGAGGAGGCAGGGAGAGGUUUUGUGCUGAUCUUGAAUAGCUUUGAAUGGGAAAUAUGAUGGUUUCACUUCCUUCCUGUCCCACAAAACAUGGAGAGAAAGCAACUGAGCUGUGCAGGGGUCCCAACAUGUGAACCUUACACUCUAGCUGGUGCCAAGCUUCAUUUCCAAUUGACUUUAACCUCUAGGAAAGGCUCUGCAAUAACAGCCCAGAGGCCAUCUGAUCAUCAGGAUGCUGGGGUUUUCAUUGUGACGUGGCCACCUCUCCACAAAGAGCUAAACUGAGAACCUGCCAACCUUUCCCUCCUGCCCAAACUCCAAGGAGUUUGGGUGCAGAACUCCAUCACUGAACCGUCUCUCUUGUAAAAUCACUUGCUGUCCAUGAAUGGUGCAGAAGUGCCUGCGUUUGACUGGAUUGAGGCUGCGUUCUGGAUCUCAAGUCUCUUGUUCUUGCACGUUAGCCCAAUGAGUCCCGGAUUCUGAAUGCUGAGAAAGUCUGGAAGGAGUCUAGAUUGCAGUCCACUUCACGUAUCGCUUAUACCAGUGCAGAUGUGCUGUGCCAACGUAAUAUGGGGGUUGCACUUAUUUGAAACUGGAGUCAGCCACACUGGUACAGUGCAUCUGCACCGGGGGGGAGGGGGGAACACACAAGCACAGUUACAUUGGUAUGGCUUGUAAAUUACACAAUCUUAGACUCUUGUGCAGACUGGGGGCCUGUGGUGGAAUCUGGGUGUAAGGGAGUCUACCUUACACCAUCUUCCCUCUGAAUUUGGUCCAGGCACAUAUUUCUGUUUCCCAGGAUGAGCUCUGUAUGACAAGUGUGUGUGUGUGUGUGUGUGUGUGUGUGUGUGUGUGUGUGUGUGAGAGAGAGAGAGAGAGAGAAAUCACAUUGGAUAUUGACAUAAUCCAGUCCUCCCAAAAACCUGGGAAUUUUGGAUCCACUCUUUGUUUCUCCGUCUCAAACAACUUUUCCUUCAGAAACUGUUCUUUCAAAUACAGCCACUAAAAACAAGCAAACUCUGUGCUUUGAUAGUAGUUACUGCCUUGUUUUAACCAUAUCCUUUGCCUUGGUUUGACUCUUUAAGAGUCAGCACCUUAGUAAGAGCUAAUUUAUCUCUUCUGCAUGGGGUGGGAGAUCAGCUAUCAUUUGGGAAGAUAGAGAAGAAAAGAGUUUGGGGGGAACAAUGCUUCUCUCUGUGGAAAAAAGUAUUUAAUUUCUUUUUUGUUUACUGGCUUGCAAAGAGUUAAUGGUGCUUUUCUGUAUUUUAUUUCUGAACUGGGCUAAUGAAGCAAUCCAUGGCUCACAGAGACCGGCCUCUCCCUGGGGCACUGUUAAGAGCUUCAUUGGCUCAAUAAACAUUUGACGAAGACCUUAUCGAAAGCAGGGGAACUUUCUGACUUCAUUAAAAAUCAAGGGCCUGGGACACUUUUUUUUAUCCUCUGUUUCUUACCCCCUCUCCUGCUUCCCGUGGCUUGGGGAGCAAUUCAGUUGCAGCUUUGGCAUUUUUAUUCCUGCGGAAAGAUUGAGAGCCCUAGAUGAAUUAAUCCUUCUGGCUGCAUAUCAGGUGCACCCCAGAGAGCAGCGAGACAAUAUUGCCCCCUUACAACCACACACUGGCCCCAAUGUCUCAAACCUGUGAGAGAGGGCUGCUCCCGGUGAAAGGAAAGGCCUGAUGCCCCGUUGCCCUGCAACGUGACAAAUCAUUUACACCAGCGUGUGUAAAGUCUUACCAUUCUGACUCACUUGGUGCACAGGAGACUUCUGUGUCUGGAUAAACUCACAAGGCUCGAUCAUACUGGGAGUAGCUCUGCUCUGCCGCCUUCCGCGGAGCUGCUCCAGGUUUGCACCAUGGUGCGAGGGAGAGUGGCGUGUGCGCUGUGGGUUUAGCAGGUGUGAAAUUGGCAAGACAGUCUGUUCAACUGGAAGGCACUGAGCCCUGAAGGAUGGAGGCUGCUGCACUGCUGAACAAACACUUCAUCAUAUUGUCCUCGGGCUGUGGGUAUGGAACACAUUGUUCGCAGUUUAAACCACUGUAAACUUUUUACAGGGCAGCAAGAGACGAACGUUUCCAGUAAUUCAAGGAGAUGGUUUACUUCUUUUCUUCUCUUCUUGGCCAGCUCUUUAAAAGGGCUCAGGGUUCUUCAUAUUCUUUGAUUUAUGGAGGGCUCUUUUUUUCUGUCAGUCCUCUGCAAACAAUUCAGCAAACUGGACGAAGGCUGGUUUGCUCUGCAGGCAUCAGAUCCAAGUUUUUCAGCUCUGAGCUUUGUGCGUUUCUCUUGACAGCAUGAGGGAGAAGCAAACACGUAAAUUCUGGUGAUUGUAGCAUCAGCGGGUGCUGAAAGUGGAGGCUG